rnacentral:tRNA from 1 species
GCGGGUGUAGUUCAAUGGUAGAAUUCCAGCCUUCCAAGCUGGUCGUGUGGGUCCGAUUCCCAUCGCCCGCUCCA